GACGAACGCUGGCGGCGUGCUUAACACAUGCAAGUCGAACGGUAAGGCCCUUCGGGGUACACGAGUGGCGAACGGGUGAGUAACACGUGGGUGAUCUGCCCUGCACUUCGGGAUAAGCCUGGGAAGCUGGGUCUAAUACCGGAUAGGACCACUGCCUGCAUGGGUGGUGGUGGAAAGCUUUUGCGGUGUGGGAUGGGCCCGCGGCCUAUCAGCUUGUUGGUGGGGUGAUGGCCUACCAAGGCGACGACGGGUAGCCGGCCUGAGAGGGUGACCGGCCACACUGGGACUGAGAUACGGCCCAGACUCCUACGGGAGGCAGCAGUGGGGAAUAUUGCACAAUGGGCGCAAGCCUGAUGCAGCGACGCCGCGUGAGGGAUGACGGCCUUCGGGUUGUAAACCUCUUUCAGCACCGACGAAGCGCAAGUGACGGUAGGUGCAGAAGAAGGACCGGCCAACUACGUGCCAGCCGCCGAGUAA
rnacentral:rRNA from 1 species